GCCACCAUCUGCUGCUGACUGAUGUCGAACCGGGUCUGCAUCUGGGUCCCACCAGUCUUGCCAUUGCUUAAAGGGGCAGCUGCAGUUGCACUCUCUUGGUGCUCACACUGACCGUUAACACUCUGAUCAUAAUCAUGGGUCUGAAAGUUUGAUUCCUUAGUGUUGACCACCGAUUCAUUUCUGGGUUUUGAUCUUUCGAG
rnacentral:misc_RNA from 1 species